UACGGAGGGGGGCUAGCGUUGUUCGGAAUUACUGGGCGUAAAGCGCGCGUAGGCGGCUUUGUAAGUUAGAGGUGAAAGCCCGGAGCUUAACUCCGGAACUGCCUUUAAGACUGCAUCGCUAGAAUUGUGGAGAGGUGAGUGGAAUUCCGAGUGUAGAGGUGAAAUUCGUAGAUAUUCGGAAGAACACCAGUGGCGAAGGCGACUCACUGGACACAUAUU
rnacentral:rRNA from 1 species